AACGAACGCUGGCGGCAGGCUUAACACAUGCAAGUCGAGCGCCCCGCCAGGGGAGCGGUAGACGGGUGAGUAACGCGUGGGAACGUACCUUUUGGUUCGGAACAACUCCGGGAAACUGGAGCUAAUACCGGAUAAGCCCUAACGGGGAAAGAGUUAUCGCCGAAAGAUCGGCCCGCGUCUGAUUAGCUAGUUGGUGAGGUAACGGCUCACCAAGGCGACGAUCAGUAGCUGGGCUGAGAGGAUGAUCAGCCACACUGGGACUGAGACACGGCCCAGACUCCUACGGGAGGGAGCAGUAGGGAAUAUUGGACAAUGGGCGCAAGCCUGAUACAGCCAUGCCGCGUAAGUGAUGAAGGCCGUAGGGUUGUAAAGCUCUUUUGUCCGGGAAGAUAAUGACUGUACCGGAAGAAUAAGCCCCGGCUAACUUCGCG
rnacentral:rRNA from 1 species